rnacentral:rRNA from 1 species
GUCUGGUGGCGAGUGGCGAACGGGUGAGUAAUGUAUCGGAACGUGCCUAGUAGCGGGGGAUAACUACGCGAAAGCGUAGCUAAUACCGCAUACGCCCUACGGGGGAAAGCAGGGGAUCGCAAGACCUUGCACUAUUAGAGCGGCCGAUAUCGGAUUAGCUAGUUGGUGGGGUAACGGCUCACCAAGGCGACGAUCCGUAGCUGGUUUGAGAGGACGACCAGCCACACUGGGACUGAGACACGGCCCAGACUCCUACGGGAGGCAGCAGUGGGGAAUUUUGGACAAUGGGGGAAACCCUGAUCCAGCCAUCCCGCGUGUGCGAUGAAGGCCUUCGGGUUGUAAAGCACUUUUGGCAGGAAAGAAACGUCUCGGGCUAAUACCCCGUGAAACUGACGGUACCUGCAGAAUAAGCACCGGCUAACUACGUGCCAGCAGCCGCGGUAAUACGUAGGGUGCAAGCGUUAAUCGGAAUUACUGGGCGUAAAGCGUGCGCAGGCGGUUCGGAAAGAAAGAUGUGAAAUCCCAGAGCUUAACUUUGGAACUGCAUUUUUAACUACCGGGCUAGAGUGUGUCAGAGGGAGGUGGAAUUCCGCGUGUAGCAGUGAAAUGCGUAGAUAUGCGGAGGAACACCGAUGGCGAAGGCAGCCUCCUGGGAUAACACUGACGCUCAUGCACGAAAGCGUGGGGAGCAAACAGGAUUA